CUUAAACACAGGUCGUUAGCGAGUCGUACACACUAACUCAGACUUCUCUACUAACUGAAGACGCAAAAACAGCUACUUCAGUAACCCGUGAUGGUGGGUUUCCUGGCACUGGUGCUUAGCAUGUCCCUUUUGGUUGUCGGACAGUCCCGCUUCAUCAUCAUGAAUCCCACAUUGGCUAAUACGAUCUCCAGGCAUACACCCGGACUACAUACACAACCCGGAUGCAGUUUGCUGGGUACAAGAAAUAGACUACAGCUGUUAUCGUAUCUAUCUGCCAUACGGAAAUCUAGCCACCUCUCAUCUGGCACGAGUGGAUUUGCUUCAUUGACUAAGGAAAUUAUUCCUCGGCCAUACGAAGAUACACGAUUUUUUACACGAUUUAUGAAGCGGGCACCAAUACUGAACAAGGGCAGACGGAAUUACGCAUGCGACACCACCCGUCUCACACUGCAAACCAUCAUAGAGUACAUAAAUACGGGGACCAUAUGUGGUUUCCAGGUCGCCGGCGUGCGUUUUGGACUGGGGAAAUGAUGUUCUUUAACUGCUCUUGUGUGCAGAUAACACAUUACCGUACAGAGGGAAGAUAUACACUUGAGUGUAUUUAAAAGGGGGUGACAAUCUUACAUACUGCAUAAAGAAUUCAAUGAACAGACAAAAUAGAAUAGUUAUAUACUUAAAUCAUAAAGGAUUAUAUGUACCAAAAAACCGCAAUUAGACCAUUAAAGGAUUAUAUGUUCCAAAAAAACUGCAACUAGACAAUUGAAAGAUUCUGUGUACCAAAACUACAACUAGACCAUUAAAGGAUUCUGUGUACCAAAAAAUACAAUUAGACCAUUAAAGGAUUCUGUGUACCAAAAAAUACAAUUAGACCAUUAAAGGAUUCUGUGUACCAAAACUACAACUAGACCAUUAAAGGAUUCUGUAUACCAAAACUACAAUUAGACCAUUAAAGGAUUAUGUGUACCAAAACUGCAACUAGACCAUUAAAGGAUUAUGUGUACCAAAACUGCAACUAGACCAUUAAAGGAUUCUGUGUACCAAAAAAUACAAUUAGACCAUUAAAGGAUUAUGUGUACCAAAACAUACAAUUAGACCAUUAAAGGAUUCUGUGUACCAAAACUACAACUAGACCAUUAAAGGAUUCUGUAUACCAAAACUACAAUUAGACCAUUAAAGGAUUAUGUGUACCAAAACUACAACUAGACCAUUAAAGGAGUAUGUGUACCAAAACUACAACUAGACCAUUAAAGGAUUCUGUGUACCAAAAAAUACAAUUAGACCAUCAAAGGAUUCUGUGUACCAAAAAAAAUACAACUAGACCAUUAAAGCAAGGAUUUGCGAUGAAUUCAGAUUAUGCCAUAACCGUCCGUGAAAGGUUCUUAUGCUUCAAAUCACUCUACACGCCUUGUAUUUGUCGUCUUCGGGCUGGUAUCCUUCCGUCUAACUCCAAGGAUAUGACAAUAAUCUAUACAUGGACUCUUAUUAGAAUUAUUUCUAGGAACAAGUUCCCAGUAAAAUGCCUAUUGUUCGAUGGCAUUGAAAAAAACGUUGAUAAUGCGAUUUCGAAUUAUGUCAGAAGAAAUCAACGAUAUUCUUUAGAAUUAUAAAGACUCGGAAACAACAAUAAAGUCGGACAUAUCAGAACUCCAUGUGUUGUAUAUAUAAUCGCCCAGCCAUGUGGUUAUUAUCCAAAAUCUUUAAAAAAAAAAACCUGUAAUUAUUUGAUAAGGUUAAGUCUCUGUUUAGCAAUUAAUGCUACUAUCUUAAUAGUUUUUCAGUCAUGCCUUAGAAUAAGUAUAUAUUCAUAUUCUAUAGACAGGGAAAAAAUUGGUUUACAAGUUUUAAAACUUUAGUGAUGCAAUACUGAAUUACAAUGUUGUAAUUGGCUUGAUAAGUUCAUUAAUUGAUUAUACUUUUUUUGUACUGGCAAUAUAUUAUAUUGUACAUAUGUUUAUUUAUCAAACUAUUUGUGAAUUACUUUGGUAUAUUAGAAUGUGUAUAGAUAUAUGUAAUUCAGUGUUUGCAGUAAAACGCACAAAGAUGUA